GAUGAACGCUAGCGGCAGGCUUAAUACAUGCAAGUUGAGGGGCAGCAUGAUAUACGUAAGUAUAUUGAUGGCGACCGGCGGACGGGUGAGUAAAAGGUAGGAGACCUACCUCAUACAGGGGGAUAGCAUAGAGAAAUCUGUGGUAAUACCCCAUGAGGUUAUAUGAAUAGAGGCAUAUAAUCAAAGUAUACGAGAGUAUGCGGUAUGAGAUGGGCCUACUGACCAUUAGCUAGUUGGUAAGGUAAGGGCUCACCAAGGCGAAGAUGGUUAGGGGUUUGAGAGAGAGAUCCCCCACAUUGGAACUGAGAUACGGUCCAGACUCCUACGGGAGGCAGCAGUAGGGAAUAUUGGGGCAAUGGGCGAAAGCCUGACCCAGCCAUGCCGCGUGAAGGAAGACGGCCUUAUGGGUUGUAAACUUCUUUACUAUACGAAUAGAGGUUAGUACGAGUUACUAAUAGGAAGUAGUAUAGCAAAAAGCACCGGCUAACUCCGUGCCAG
rnacentral:rRNA from 1 species